GGACCUAUUCGCUUAGCAGAAACAGAGAAGAGAGAUAUUCCAGAAAUCAUUUUAAUAGAAGAAGAAUCAGAAAUUCUAGACGGAGAAAAUAUUUACUCUAAUCUACCUUUAAAUGGUUACCAGUAUGAAAAAUCAUCCAACAUUAUUAGUGAACUUUCUACAUCAUGUUCAAAUGGAACGCUUAAAUGGAACAGAGACUGGAAGUUAUUAAUAGAAGGAUUAGUUCAAGUCCAUAUUAUUUUAUUUUUUUUAAUUUAUUUAUUCUUACUCCGCCCCUUUCGGGUUUGGAGGAAAGUCCAUAUUAUAAGCAGUAGGAAUAAAAAUAUGUUGGUGCAAAGUAGGAUACAAAAACUAGUCAUCGAUAUGGAACAAUUAACAGCAAAAAUGAAAGAAAACAAUGCCUUACCGAUGAAGUUUGAAAAAUGGGAAAAUGUAAUUGCUUGCCCUGGAAUUGCAAUGAGUAGAAUCCAAUUUAAAGGAAUAAUAUUUAAAAACAGGAAGAAGAAAAUUGUUUCGGAAGAACUCAGAUUUAUCCAGAUAAUAAAACACAGAUGGAUAUCGACGACGUAUUAAAUGCAACACUAUGAUUAAUUUCAAAAAA
rnacentral:lncRNA from 1 species